rnacentral:tmRNA from 1 species
GGGGGUGCAUUGGAAUUCGACUGGGAAAUGGGAAAGUAGAGUAGCAAGCCUGGGGUGAUUGAAGGGCCCAGUAAAAAAUCAAUCGAACUGUAAUUGCUAACAACAGCGAAUACAACCUGAACGAAGUGGCUCUAGCCGCCUAGUUCAGUUUUUCGGACCCCGGCGUAAGUCGCGGACCGGACGGGAGUAGGCCCGAUGUUCGGUAAGGCUUGUCUCCUGUAAUAAAAAUCGGACUGGACCUCUGCGGUGUCGAUACGUAGAGGUUAAGAUCAAAAACGACUGGUCACCUCUGAGCCUGUCCGGCAGCAACAUGAGGGGGCGAGAUGCGAAAGACGGACUAAGCUUGUAGAAUCCUGCUGUACCGCUCCACAGGACGGGGGUUCGACUCCCCCCACCUCCACCA